AUUGAACGCUGGCGGCAGGCCUAACACAUGCAAGUCGAACGGUAACAGGAAGAAGCUUGCUUCUUUGCUGACGAGUGGCGGACGGGUGAGUAAUGUCUGGGAAACUGCCUGAUGGAGGGGGAUAACUACUGGAAACGGUAGCUAAUACCGCAUAACGUCGCAAGACCAAAGAGGGGGACCUUCGGGCCUCUUGCCAUCGGAUGUGCCCAGAUGGGAUUAGCUAGUAGGUGGGGUAACGGCUCACCUAGGCGACGAUCCCUAGCUGGUCUGAGAGGAUGACCAGCCACACUGGAACUGAGACACGGGCCAGACUCCUACGGGAGGCAGCAGUGGGGAAUAUUGAACAAUGGGCGCAAGCCUGAUGCAGCCAUGCCGCGUGUAUGAAGAAGGCCUUCGGGUUGUAAAGUACUUUCAGCGGGGAGGAAGGGAGUAAAGUUAAUACCUUUGCUCAUUGACGUUACCCGCAGAAGAAGCACCGGCUAACUCCGUG
rnacentral:rRNA from 1 species